rnacentral:rRNA from 1 species
UGUGAGCUCGAUGAGUAGGGCGGGACACGUGGUAUCCUGUCUGAAUAUGGGGGGACCAUCCUCCAAGGCUAAAUACUCCUGACUGACCGAUAGUGAACCAGUACCGUGAGGGAAAGGCGAAAAGAACCCCGGCGAGGGGAGUGAAAAAGAACCUGAAACCGUGUACGUACAAGCAGUGGGAGCCUCUUUUAUGGGGUGACUGCGUACCUUUUGUAUAAUGGGUCAGCGACUUAUAUUCUGUAGCAAGGUUAACCGAAUAGGGGAGCCGAAGGGAAACCGAGUCUUAACUGGGCGUUAAGUUGCAGGGUAUAGACCCGAAACCCGGUGAUCUAGCCAUGGGCAGGUUGAAGGUUGGGUAACACUAACUGGAGGACCGAACCGACUAAUGUUGAAAAAUUAGCGGAUGACUUGUGGCUGGGGGUGAAAGGCCAAUCAAACCGGGAGAUAGCUGGUUCUCCCCGAAAGCUAUUUAGGUAGCGCCUCGUGAAUUCAUCUCCGGGGGUAGAGCACUGUUUCGGCAAGGGGGUCAUCCCGACUUACCAACCCGAUGCAAACUGCGAAUACCGGAGAAUGUUAUCACGGGAGACACACGGCGGGUGCUAACGUCCGUCGUGAAGAGGGAAACAACCCAGACCGCCAGCUAAGGUCCCAAAGUCAUGGUUAAGUGGGAAACGAUGUGGGAAGGCCCAGACAGCCAGGAUGUUGGCUUAGAAGCAGCCAUCAUUUAAAGAAAGCGUAAUAGCUCACUGGUCGAGUCGGCCUGCGCGGAAGAUGUAACGGGGCUAAACCAUGCACCGAAGCUGCGGCAGCGACGCUUAUGCGUUGUUGGGUAGGGGAGCGUUCUGUAAGCCUG